rnacentral:rRNA from 1 species
UAAACCGUGGCUCAGUUCAGAUCGUAGGCUGCAACUCGCCUACGUGAAGGAGGAAUCGCUAGUAAUCGCAGGUCAGCAUACUGCGGUGAAUACGUUCCCGGGCCUUGUACACACCGCCCGUCACACCAUGGAAGUUGGCCACGCCCGAAGCCGUUACUCCAACCCUUGUGGAGGAGGACGUCGAAGGUGGGGCUGAUGACUGGGGUGAAGUCGUAACAAGGUAGCCGUACCGGAAGGUGCGGCUGGAUCACCUCCUAACA